CGCCCACGUAGCCUCCCGCACACCCGCAUCAAUCGCUAAUCCAUCGAUCCUCCACACGUGUCGUUCCUCCCGCAGCCUCCCGUCCCUCAUCGCGCCCUUCGCUAGGGAGCUGCCGCCCGUCGGGCCGUUCCUCCCGCAGCCUCCCGUCCGUCGUCGCGCCCUUCACCGCGGGAGCUGCCGCCCGUCGCGCCUUCCGCCGCAGGUCACCGCGGGAGCCGCCGCGCCCUUCUCCGCGGGAGUCGUCCGAGCCGCUCAGCUUGGAGUCCUCAACUGCCGUCGCGCACACAGGUGGCGCGACGGAGGGGGAGUACGAUGAGGUUCUGGGGCAGCUCUCCUCUCUCACGCAAAACGUGCAAGCACACACCGGAAACCCGCGCAACCAGUGGGACCUCAUGGACCGCUAACUCCAGGUGAAUUUGGUUAGAUUCUCGAGCUGGAGGAGCCCAUCGCGUGGAUGAAGGUCAUCCAUGUCACCGGGACCAAAGUUGAAUCACGAGAUAACAUUUGGUGCCAAGGAUUCGAGAAGGUGAACUAAUACCAAGAACCAUGUCGUCGGAUGAUUCUGGAAGAGAUGGUCCUGAUAGUCGAGAUAAACGGUGCAUUGGGUGAACUUGGUACUACAGAGAUUUCCACAUUCAUUCUAUCACAUUACUCAUUUGCUUCGUGAUGUACAUGAAUGGCGGCAGAUGGUUGAGGAUUGAGGGAAUGUAGAUGCGACUAGCGAGCACUUACUCGGAGGUGCUUUCAGAUGAUGGAUUAAUAAGACUGAGGGCGGGAGAAGGGAGGCCGGGCGGCGCCGAAGGCGGAGCUCUGCUGCGAGCAUGGCACGUAGAGGCUAUUGCUGCUAGCCCCAUGUUGGCAGCCCCGCGCGAGCGCCCUGCAGCCGCAUCACCGAGCGACAACCCCGCCGCCACACGCCCGCACUAGCGCAACGCCACCGCAGUGCCAAGCCACGGCCCCGCUGUUCUUGACCGGAGGUCGCCGACGCCUUCCGCAACUUUUGGGUGCACCCAGAUCGGACGCCUCCCUUUUAUCUCCUUGUUGUGUUUGGUUAACAUGUUUCUAUGAAAUUGUAGAUUUCAGUAAGGUUCUGCUGUGUGUUCACAUUAAUUCAGAAAUUGUAUGUAUCAAUCGACUGCAUCUGAUGUUGUGCUUCUCAUGUUCCCUUGAAAGGAUUGCUGGAUGGAAAGAUGUUUUUGCUUUCAGGACUUCUGGUGUGUGUACGACCCUCUAAAUAACUCUCUUUCAUCUCAUGCAGCAGCAAAGGCUUAGAGGAAGGCGCUGCAGCGUGGAUGCACAUGGGAUGUUGCAGGAACAUGAACCUGAUGAUGACCCAUAGUUGGAUGUUUGUGAGAGUGAUACUUUUUUCUUCGGUCGUAAUCCCGGCGUCCUCCUCGCAUCAUUCUGCCGUCGCUGACCAUCAUUAUUCGGCCGUAAUCCCAGCGUCCUCCUGGCAUCACCCUGCUGCGCCCCUGGCCAAUUGCCUGGAGAUACCAUCCAAGCGCGUGUGGCUGCAAAAGUGCUUCAUAUGAUGAAGGAUGGUAUCAUUGACCCAGUGAAAAUGAUCCAAACUGUACUUCAAGGUGCAACAAGUUCUGUACAAUGUUUAUCCGCUGAUCACAACCAUAGAGGUUGCAGAUGAGCAAAAUGGGUUUUGAGGACAGUGCGGCAUUGUGUUUGCACUUUUUUUGAUAGAAUGGAAUGCAUGUCUCACAUGACCAGUUCUAAGAAAUACAAGCAUAGUUUGAGGUAAACUGGUCAGAAAACUAAGGUUACUUUUAAGUAAGGAUAGGGCCAUGGAUUACAUGAUUGCUUUUCAAAACACAACAUCAGAUGUAGUUGAGCACACCGUUUCGGUUGGAGGAAGUUUGAACUUCGUAUUCAUAUUAAUCCAUGUAUAAGUUUACUGACGAUAACUGUUUCAUCUGAUGGUACUGCUAUUUUGUCACAAAGAACAAGUACUAUGAUAAUGCCUCAUAAAGAAAAAGUUCUUGCGACAGUAAACUGAUGUUGUCUAUUGUUGGGGGAGGUGAGGAUGUCGAUGAAAAGAGAAGAGUUUGUCUUCUGUCCGACAGGAUUUGGUUGUAAAUCUUUGUUCAUUACUCCAGGUGUGCAUUGAGCGUACAUGAUCUGCACGAAAAAAACAAAUUGAUUGGCAAGUUUUGAAGGACAUGGGCAAUGCUCGAUUGGCAAGUUUGGAUUAUAUCUAAAGAUCGACAUGGACAAUGCUCGAUUGACAAAUUUUGAUUUUUUUUUUCUUGCUAGAAAUGAUACCAGCACAAGUGCUUAGCAUGAUAAAUAUGUUCGCCUAUAUUCUGAGUGGAAGUUACAUGGAUUUUUUGGGUACAUUAGUCGACCUCUCAGUUGAUAUUUUAUAUUACUAGAUAAUUGUCCGUAACGGGCCCAUAAAUAUGUGUACACGCACAAUUUUUAUUUGA